UACGUAGGCAGCAAGCGUUGUUCGGAGUUACUGGGCGUAAAGGGUGCGUAGGCGGCCUUAUAAGUAUGGUGUGAAAUCUCCCGGCUUAACUGGGAGGGUGCGCUAUAGACUGUGGGGCUAGAGUGUGGGAGAGGAAAGUGGAAUUCCUGGUGUAGCGGUGAAAUGCGUAGAUAUCAGGGGGAACACCGGUGGUGUAAACGGCUUUCUGGACCAUAACUGACGCUGAGGCACGAAAGCGUGGGUAGCAAACAGG
rnacentral:rRNA from 1 species